CAGAAGAUCCCCCUUUUAUGACGUCUAAAAAUGCCCAAGUUGCAGAAAUUAUCCCACGCCGCAGCCGUCGAAUUGCUGGCGUGGGAGUUGAAUUUGACAACAUGGAUUUAUCCUCAAGAACCACAAAGAAAGUUAUGCAGGCCUUGAAAGUAAUUGGGGAUCCUGGGGCAGUCACCCAGCAAGCCAAAGAAGACUAUCUGAAAGUAUUCUCCACUGAACUUCCUAUUUCACAUAUUGAAGCGCUGGCGUCCUUUUUUGGAUGGGUGGUACCAGAUGAUCUCAAGGUGGGCAGCAUUAGUGUUGGCAUUAGUGCCUGUUGAGUUGUCCUGUAGAGGUCGCUGAUGUAAGAGGUUUGUAAUGGAUCCAAAAA
rnacentral:misc_RNA from 1 species